ACUCACGAAUGCUGAGAUCCCAGGCAAGGAUGACCUUCUCUAAAAGGGACACAUGAAUACCAAGAUAUGGGAGGCUUGAGCAAAUACUAUGAAUCUCUCAAGGAGCUAUGGAUUACCUUAAAAGGCUAGACAACAGAGCCACGGCACAGGAAGUCUGCCCUGGAUGCUAUCCUGCUGGGAAUUGGCCCUCUGAAACAGAUCCAUCCACCCGAUGAGUCAUGACAUUAAAAAUGAUGAAGGAAAUGGACUGGUCCCCAGACAAACAGCUCGGGGCAAUACGAUUCCUGCAUCCAAAGGACUAUGGGUUACAGACACCUCUCUCUUCUGGGAUACAACGUGUAAAAGCCGGAUUGAGAUCUCUAUGCCUGUUCUUCAACUGCUGUGGCUACCACUAUUCCAAGAGACAGAAUAAGAAAGUUAAAGACAACAAGAAAUGGGUCUGUAAGGCCCGAAGUGAGUGGUGUGGCAAACGACUGGACUCACUCACAUGAAUAUAAGGGUGAGAGGGGAAAAGCCUUGUGACUAAGUCCUGUGAUUUGGGGAUUGGGUCCAAAGCAUAGCCCAGCCCUUAUUUACUAACAUCAGAGUGAAGACAAGAACUAACUUUGCCUACAUUUUGCAGCUAAUCCAUUCAGGAACAGACUAAGUCUCGUCCUGACCUACUUGUCGUUUUUCUGUAAAGACCACUCGAGGUUUUAUCAACUUGAUCAACAGGUAUGUUCAUAGUAAACCCGAGUAACCAUUUUUGUACAGUGAAUAAAGUAUUUUUAAUAAUCCAGA
rnacentral:lncRNA from 1 species